GGGGGCGACUUGGCUUCGACGCUGGUUGCGAAACCUAAGGUGCAUGUCGAGAGGGUAGUGACUCUCGUAAAACAAUCGCUGUAACUUUUAUAGUUGCCAACGACGAAAACUACGCACUAGCUGCUUAAUAGUCUCUUAGGAGCCGUUUAGGCUAGCUAAACCCGGGGCGGAUGUGCCCAUGUAUCCAAACCGGGUGCUUGACUCAUGGGAUCGCUGUCAGACCCAGCUUGUGGUGGAAGCAGUUAAAUACGAAGCAAGCUCGCCAUUUGAUCCCUGUUUGUCGGGUUAACGAAUGGUCAAAUAAUAGACAAACUAAGCAUGUAGAGCCGAAGGCAGAGAACUGACGGACUCGGGUUCGAUUCCCGACGCCUCCACCA
rnacentral:tmRNA from 2 species